rnacentral:rRNA from 1 species
UGAGGAACAUGACCUUCGGCGGGGGAUAGCCGGCCCAACGGCCGGGUAAUACCGCGUACGACCACAUGGGGACAUCCCUGAGUGGUGAAAGCAGCAAUGCGCCGAUGGAGUGCCUCGCGGCCUAUCAGCUAGUUGGUGAGGUAACGGCUCACCAAGGCAACGACGGGUAGCUGGUCUGAGAGGAUGGCCAGCCACAUUGGGACUGAGACACGGCCCAGACUNUACGGGAGG